UACGGGGGGGGGCAAGCGUUGUUCGGAAUUACUGGGCGUAAAGGGCUCGUAGGCGGCCAACUAAGUCGGACGUGAAAUCCCUCGGCUCAACCGGGGAACGGCGUCUGAUACUGGAUGGCUUGAGUUCGGGAGAGGGAUGCGGAAUUCCAGGUGUAGCGGUGAAAUGCGUAGAUAUCUGGAGGAACACCGGUGGCGAAGGCGGCAUCCUGGAC
rnacentral:rRNA from 1 species